rnacentral:rRNA from 1 species
AUGGCAGCGUCGCCAUUGAUUUUGUUGGGGGGCGAGGGGGCGGGGAGGGAGGGGGCGAGGGUGGGCAACACCGGCGAGGGGCGCGCGUGCUGCACGACGGCGACGAGCAUCGGCAGCGAGGCAAGCCGGAGGGGAACUUCGAGUCAGCGGGAGGGCGCGGGGCACGGCCUUGCCCGAUGCGAGCGGACGAUGUUUUUUUUUGUUCUGCGGCGAAGGAAAAAAUAUUACGGAUCCAAUCAAGUGGCCGUGGAUGCAUGUAUCGGGUGGCUAGGAGCGGACCGGCCGAAAGGAUUCGGCCGGCGCAUCGGCGCCUAG